rnacentral:rRNA from 1 species
CCUACGGGCGGCAGCAGUAGGGAAUUUUCCACAAUGGACGAAAGUCUGAUGGAGCAACGCCGCGUGAGUGAAGAAGGGUUUCGGCUCGUAAAGCUCUGUUGGUAGUGAAGAAAGAUAGAGGUAGUAACUGGCCUUGAUUUGACGGUAAUUACAUAGAAAGUCACGGCUAACGACGUGCCAGCAGCCGCGGUAAUACGUAGGUGGCAAGCGUUAUCCGGAUUUAUUUGGCGGAAGGGGAGGGCAGGCGGUUCAAUAAGUCUGAGGUGAAAGCCUUCGGCCCCACCAGAGAAUUGCAUCAGAAACUGUUGAACUUGAGUGCGGAAGAGGAGAGUGGAACUCCAUGUGUAGCGGUGGAAUGCGUAGAUAUAUGGAAGAACACCAGUGGCGAAGGCGGCUCUCUGGUCUGCAACUGACGCUGAGGCUCGAAAGCAUGGGUAGCGAACAGGAUUAGAUACCCCAGUAGUC